GCAGCUACCAUGCAGUCGAGCGGCAGCACGGGAAGCUUGCUUCCUGGUGGCGAGCGGCGGACGGGUGAGUAAUGCAUAGAAAUCUGCCCGGUAGUGGGGGAUAACCUGGGGAAACCCAGGCUAAUACCGCAUACGUCCUACGGGAGAAAGCAGGGGAUCUUCGGACCUUGCGCUAUCGGAUGAGUCUAUGUCGGAUUAGCUUGUUGGUGAGGUAAUGGCUCACCAAGGCGACGAUCCGUAGCUGGUCUGAGAGGAUGAUCAGCCACAUCGGGACUGAGACACGGCCCGAACUCCUACGGGAGGCAGCAGUGGGGAAUAUUGGACAAUGGGCGAAAGCCUGAUCCAGCCAUGCCGCGUGUGUGAAGAAGGCCUUCGGGUUGUAAAGCACUUUCAGUGGGGAAGAAAGCCUUGGGGCUAAUACCCUCGAGGAAGGACAUCACCCACAGAAGAAGCACCGGCUAACUCCGUGCCAGCAGCCGCGGUAAUACGGAGGGUGCGAGCGUUAAUCGGAAUUACUGGGCGUAAAGCGCGCGUAGGCGGUCUGAUAAGCCGGUUGUGAAAGCCCCGGGCUCAACCUGGGAACGGCAUCCGGAACUGUCAGGCUAGAGUGCAGGAGAGGAAGGUAGAAUUCCCGGUGUAGCGGUGAAAUGCGUAGAGAUCGGGAGGAAUACCAGUGGCGAAGGCGGCCUUCUGGACUGACACUGACGCUGAGGUGCGAAAGCGUGGGUAGCAAACAGGAUUAGAUACCCUGGUAGUCCACGCCGUAAACGAUGUCGACUAGCCGUUGGGGUCCUUGAGACCUUUGUGGCGCAGUUAACGCGAUAAGUCGACCGCCUGGGGAGUACGGCCGCAAGGUUAAAACUCAAAUGAAUUGACGGGGGCCCGCACAA
rnacentral:rRNA from 1 species